rnacentral:tRNA from 1 species
GGACGUAUAGUGUAGUUGGAUACCCCUCUGGCCUUCUAAGCCGCCGACCCGGGUUCGAAUCCUGGUACGUCCGCCA